GAUGAACGCUGGCGGCGUGCCUAAUACAUGCAAGUCGAGCGAAUGACGAGGGGCUUGCUCCUCUGAUUUAGCGGCGGACGGGUGAGUAACACGUGGGUAACCUGCCUGUAAGACGGGGAUAACUCCGGGAAACCGGAGCUAAUACCGGAUGAUAACGAGAAGCGCCUGCUUCUUUUUUGAAAGUCGGUUUCGGCUGACGCUUACAGAUGGGCCCGCGGCGCAUUAGCUAGUUGGUGAGGUAACGGCUCACCAAGGCGACGAUGCGUAGCCGACCUGAGAGGGUGAUCGGCCACACUGGGACUGAGACACGGCCCAGACUCCUACGGGAGGCAGCAGUAGGGAAUCUUCGGCAAUGGACGAAAGUCUGACCGAGCAACGCCGCGUGAGCGAUGAAGGCCUUCGGGUCGUAAAGCUCUGUUGUCAGAGAAGAACAAGUACCGGAGUAACUGCCGGUACCUUGACGGUACCUGACCAGAAAGCCACGGCUAACUACGUGCCAGCCGCCGCAGUAAAAC
rnacentral:rRNA from 1 species